rnacentral:lncRNA from 1 species
CACGAGGCUGGUAAGCCUGUUGCUGUGGACGCUGCUGUUGCUGUUGAUAUUGCGGUUGUGGAUAUUGCUGCUGAUGCUGAUACUGCUGAGCAUUAUCCUUGAAUACAGGCGCCACACUAGCUACCUGAUGUUGAUGUUUGGAAUGAUGUGCAGGCUUCCUCUGAACAGAGGGUCUUCGAUGUUUCGGCUGAGACUGCACAGCAUGAGC